rnacentral:lncRNA from 1 species
UUUGAUUUCCCUUCGUUAUCACCUUCCAGAGAUGAAAGUUUUUUGCUUGAACGAAAAUUCUCAUCCUCUCCUUCCAGUACGUGUAGUUUGUACCGUUGAAUAAAGGUAGUCGUGUGGAGCAUUGUCCUUAAUCAAUUCCUGCGAAAGAGUCACGAGUAGAAGCCAUGGAUGGUUCUCUCAAACUGUUAAGUCUUCAGAGAGUUGGGCUCUGAUACCAAUUGUUAGAUAAUACGCUUAACGCU